CGAAGUAGCAAUACUUAGUGGCAGACGGGUGAGUAACAUGUAGGUAUCUGCCCUUUGGCCUGGAAUAACACGAGGAAACUUGUGCUAAUACCGGAUAAGUCUUUACGGAGAAAGCUUUAUGCACCAUUGGAUGAGCCUGCGCUUGAUUAGUUUGUUGGUGGGGUAAUGGCCUACCAAGACUUUGAUCAAUAGCUGAUUUGAGAGGAUGAUCAGCCACAUUGGGACUGAGACACGGCCCAAACUCCUACGGGAGGCAGCAGUGGGGAAUCUUGCACAAUGGAGGAAACUCUGAUGCAGCGAUGCCGCGUGAGUGAAGAAGGCCUUUGGGUUGUAAAGCUCUUUCGUCGGGGAAGAAAAUGACUGUACCCGAAUAAGAAGGUCCGGCUAACUUCGUGCCAGCAGCCGCGGUAAUACGAAGGGACCUAGCGUAGUUCGGAAUUACUGGGCUUAAAGAGUUCGUAGGUGGUUGAAAAAGUUGGUGGUGAAAUCCCAGAGCUUAACUCUGGAACUGCCAUCAAAACUUUUCAGCUAGAGUUUGAUAGAGGAAAGCAGAAUUUCUAGUGUAGAGGUGAAAUUCGUAGAUAUUAGAAAGAAUACCAAUUGCGAAGGCAGCUUUCUGGAUCAUUACUGACACUGAGGAACGAAAGCAUGGGUAGCGAAGAGGAUUAGAUACCCUCGUAGUCCAUGCCG
rnacentral:rRNA from 1 species